GCCAGUGUAGUUCAAUGGUAGAACACCCACCUUGUAACUGGGUAACAGGGGUUCGAUUCCCUUUACUGGCA
rnacentral:tRNA from 1 species